GGACACGUGCCUGAACCAAAGGAUCAUCUUGAUAGGAUGAAUAAUAGAGGUUAAAAUCCCCUCGUCUCCU
rnacentral:tRNA from 1 species